rnacentral:tRNA from 1 species
AAAUAUGAAGUAAAAUUUUUACAAUUAGUUUCGACCUAAUAUUUUGAUAAUAAUAAGUAUCCAUAUUUU